GACGAACGCUGGCGGCGUGCUUAACACAUGCAAGUCGAACGGAAAGGCCCUGCUUUUGUGGGGUGCUCGAGUGGCGAACGGGUGAGUAACACGUGAGUAACCUGCCCUUGACUUUGGGAUAACUUCAGGAAACUGGGGCUAAUACCGGAUAGGAGCUCCUGCUGCAUGGUGGGGGUUGGAAAGUUUCGGCGGUUGGGGAUGGACUCGCGGCUUAUCAGCUUGUUGGUGGGGUAGUGGCUUACCAAGGCUUUGACGGGUAGCCGGCCUGAGAGGGUGACCGGCCACAUUGGGACUGAGAUACGGACCAGACUCGUACGGGAGGCAGCAGUGGGGAAUAUUGCACAAUGGGCGGAAGCCUGAUGCAGCAACGCCGCGUGCGGGAUGACGGCCUUCGGGUUGUAAACCGCUUUCGCCUGUGACGAAGAGUGAGUGACGGUAAUGGGUAAAGAAGCACCGGCUAACUACGUG
rnacentral:rRNA from 1 species